GACGAACGCUGGCGGCGUGCCUAACACAUGCAAGUCGAACGGAGAUUUCAUUUAUGAAAUCUUAGUGGCGAACGGGUGAGUAACGCGUAGACAACCUACCUUCUAGAUGGGGACAACACCGCGAAAGUGGUGCUAAUACCGAAUGUUGUAUGAGAGAUGCAUAUUUUUCAUACUAAAGAUGGACUCUAUUUAUAAGCUAUCGCUAGAAGAUGGGUCUGCGUCUGAUUGGCUAGUUGGUGAGGUAAUGGCUCACAAAGGCGACGAUCAGUAGCCGGUCUGAGAGGAUGAACGGCCACACUGGGACUGAGACACGGCCCAGACUCCUACGGGAGGCAGCAGUGGGGAAUCUUCCGCAAUGGACGAAAGUCUGACGGAGCAACGCCGCGUGAGUGAAGAAGGUUUUCGGAUCGUAAAACUCUGUUUUCAGGGACGAAUGUGCAGCUUGUAAAUAAUGAGUUGUAAUGACGGUACCUGAGUAGAAAGCCACGGCUAACUACGUGCCAGCAGCCGCUGUAAGAC
rnacentral:rRNA from 1 species